UAGUAAUACAAGGCAGACGGCUCAGUAACACGUAGUCAACCUACCCUAUGGACAAGAAUAAUCCCGGGAAACUGGGCAUAAUUCUUGAUAGAUCAUAAUGCCUGGAAUGGUUUACGGUUAAAAUGAUUCGUCGCCAUAGGAUGGGACUGCGGCCUAUCAGCUUGUUGGUGAGGUAAUGGCCCACCAAGGCGAUUACAGGUACGGGCUCUGAGAGGAGAAGCCCGGAGAUGGGUACUGAGACACGGACCCAGGCCCUAUGGGGCGCAGCAGGCGAGAAAACUUUGCAAUGUGCGAAAGCACGACAAGGUUAAUCCGAGUGAUUUCUGCUAAAGAAAUCUUUUGCCAGUCAUAAAACCACUGGUGAAUAAGGGGUGGGCAAGUUCUGGUGUCAGCCGCCGCGGUAAAACCAGCACCUCAAGUGGUCAGGAUGAUUAUUGGGCCUAAAGCAUCCGUAGCCGGCUUUGUAAGUUUUCGGUUAAAUCCAUGUGCUCAACGCAUGGGCUGCCGAAAAUACUGCAUGGCUAGGGAGUGGGAGAGGUAGACGGUACUCAGUAGGAAGGGGUAAAAUCCUUUGAUCUAUCGAUGACCACCUGUGGCGAAGGCGGUCUACCCAUAACACGUUCGACGGUGAGGGAUGGAAGCUGG
rnacentral:rRNA from 1 species